rnacentral:misc_RNA from 1 species
GCGAGUGCCCUAACGCCGGUAUCAUUUUCUUACGUCUCCCUCGGAUUCGCUUAGACUUGAAAACGUGAGCUGUUGGAACGCCAGCAAUGGCUGUGGCUUCGAGGGUCCUGUCGGAGAACUGCUGGAACACUUUGAGAAGCACUGCUCCUUCCAUGCCACCACCUGUCCCCGCUGCCAGGAGACUGUGACGCGCGGCAACCUGCCAAGUCACUACGUUGCUGGAUGCGACGUCGUCUCCAAGCCGCGCAUAGACGGCGGAGGCGACACGGCUGUCCUGACGCAGACGGACGAACUGCUGAGCCAAAAGGCAGGUCAAUGCUCGUACCACGACUUGCUAACUUCCAUACAGAGCCAAAUCAACGAGCUGGCGGAGGCGCUCACUGGCUUCAACGCUGCGAUCGUGGAGCGCGACCAUCGGGAACUAGAGCUUCUUCCCGGCGCCACCACUGAACAAGGAGCACAGCUGGGCACAGAUCUAGACACCAUCCUGGCGGCGUUUACAAAAACUAGCGCUGCACUUACUGAGCGUUUCGACAGUAUGAACUGCUCUCUGCUUCAGGAAGUGGCCUCGGCCCUUACGCGGGCCCCGGGUGGCGAGACACUCUGUGGUAGUCCCACUAGAGUAGCAGUGUGGGAGCAACAGGGAUGCGGGGAUUCUGGCGUGAUUAGUGGCGCUGUGUCGGGCGUAGACGUGGGUGCCCUGCUGGCGGCGUUAAGCGAGAAGAUUACGCAGCGCCUAGACAACUUGAGCCACUUUCUUUGCCAUGAGGGGACGAUCUCGCGGUUGCCAGCAGACGGAGCUAAAAGCAAAACGGUCGCGGCUAAAAGUGUACAGACUUGCCCGGACGAGAGUGCGUUGUCACCAGCCGUAUUCAGCAACAGCAGUGGCCCCAACAAGGAACUCGUGGCUCUCGUUGUAGUUCUGGAUAAGUGGCAAAACGAUCCUCUCUGCUAUCAAAUGACGAGUGGCAUUGAUGUCGUUAUUGGCAACAUUAGUGCUAAAGUGGAGGUGUCAUUUUAUGUGUUGAGAGGGGCAAACCUGGUUGCGGUGUACGCAAAAUUCUACGGGAGGGACGUGGACAAAGUGUACAGAAACGUGCCGCUUAUACGUAAACUUUGCUCUAACGACCGCCACUCACCUCAUGUCAAGGCAUGGAUUAUGCGACGGGCAUAUUACCAAACUGGAUGUCCAAAUUUCAAUUCGAUGAAUGGGGUUCUCCUGUUUGUGUGCAACCUGAUGGAGCCUGGAGAGAGUGAUGAAAAGGGAAAGAUAGAAUUCAUCAUCGAAUAUGAUUUAACCACUGAAGAACAAUGAACCACCAUUUAUCAUUCGGAUGUCUCAUGCCUUUUCAAGGAAUAAAGCAAAUACAAAGCUAAUAAAGGAAAUAUAAGACCAGCCUA